UAAGUGCUGAAAGCAUCUAAGCACGAAACUUGCCCCGAGAUGAGUUCUCCCUGACUCCUUGAGAGUCCUGAAGGAACGUUGAAGACGACGACGUUGAUAGGCCGGGUGUGUAAGCGCAGCGAUGCGUUGAGCUAACCGGUACUAAUGAACCGUGAGGCUUAACCUUACAACGCCGAAG
rnacentral:rRNA from 3 species